rnacentral:misc_RNA from 1 species
UACGGAGGGAGCUAGCGUUGUUCGGAAUUACUGGGCGUAAAGCGCGCGUAGGCGGUCCAUUAAGUCAGGGGUGAAAUCCCGGAGCUCAACUCCGGAACUGCCCUUGAAACUGGCGGACUAGAAUCCUGGAGAGGCGAGUGGAAUUCCGAGUGUAGAGGUGAAAUUCGUAGAUAUUCGGAAGAACACCAGUGGCGAAGGCGACUCGCUGGACAGGUAUUGACGCUGAGGUGCGAAAGCGUGGGGAGCAAACAGG